rnacentral:rRNA from 1 species
ACCUUAAAGCUAGCCUAACCCACCAUUAAAUAAUAACACUAUUAAUUCUACUUACAUUACAACCUUAAACUAAAACAUUCUUCACCCUUAAGUAUGGGCGACAGAACAAGGACCUCAGCGCAAUAGCUUAUGUACCGCAAGGGAAAGCUGAAAAAGAAAUGAAAUAAAUAAUUAAAGUACUAAAAAGCAGAGAUUAACCCUCGUACCUUUGGCAUCAUGAUUUAAUUAGAAAAACUAGGCAAAGAGACCUUAAGUCUACCCUCCCGAAACUAAACGAGCUACUCCGAAGCAGCAUUAUAGAGCUAACCCGUCUCUGUGGCAAAAGAGUGGGAAGACUUCCGAGUAGUGGUGACAAGCCUACCGAGUUUAGUGAUAGCUGGUUACCCAAGAAAAGAACUUUAAUUCUGCAUUAAUCCCCUUUCUACUAAAUAAGAAUCUUCUUAUUAAAGUUAAACAUAGAGAUUAAUAGUUAUUUAGAAGAGGAACAGCCCUUCUAAAUUAAGAUACAACUUUUUAAGGUGGUUAAUGAUCAUAAUUAUUAAGGUUUUUUCCUCAGUGGGCCUAAAAGCAGCCACCUGUUAAGUAAGCGUCACAGCUCUAGUUUUUUAAAAACCCAUAAUUUAGAUAUUUAUUCAAAAACCCCCUUAACCCUAUUGGGUUAUUUUAUAUAAAAUUAUAAAAGAACUUAUGUUAAAAUGAGUAAUAAGAGGAUAAACCUCUCCCGACACAAGUGUAUGUCAGAAAGAAUUAAAUCACUGAUAAUUAAACGAUCCCAGACUGAGGCCAUCAUAACUUCAUUUCUUGACUAGAAAACCCUAUCUUACUAUUCGUUAACCCAACACAGGAGUGUCUUAAGGAAAGAUUAAAAGAAAGUAAAGGAACUCGGCAAACAUAAACUCCGCCUGUUUACCAAAAACACCGCCUCUUGCUUACCAUAAGAGGUCCCGCCUGCCCUGUGACAAUGUUCAACGGCCGCGGUAUUUUGACCGUGCAAAGGUAGCGUAAUCACUUGUCUUUUAAAUGAAGACCCGUAUGAAAGGCACCACGAGAGUUUGACUGUCUCUACUCUCUAAUCAAUGAAAUUGAUCUUCUCGUGCAGAAGCGAGUAUGAUAACAUAAGACGAGAAGACCCUAUGGAGCUUCAAAUACAUAAAUUAAUUAUGUACAUAUUAAUAAUCCCAGGACAUAAACAAAAAAUAUAAUACUUCUAAUUUAACUAUUUUUGGUUGGGGUGACCAAGGGGAAAAAUGAAUCCCCCUUAUCGACCGAGUAUUCAAAUACUUAAAAGUUAGAAUUACAAUUCUAACCGAUAAAAAUUUUAUCGAAAAAUGACCCAGGAUUUUCCUGAUCAAUGAACCAAGUUACCCUAGGGAUAACAGCGCAAUCCUUUUUCAGAGUUCCUAUCGACAAAAGGGUUUACGACCUCGAUGUUGGAUCAGGACAUCCUAAUGGUGCAACCGCUAUUAAGGGUUCGUUUGUUCAACGAUUAAUAGUCCUACGUGAUCUGAGUUCAGACCGGAGAAAUCCAGGUCAGUUUCUAUCUAUGAAUUUAUUUUUCCUAGUACGAAAGGACCGGAGAAAUGGGGCCAAUACCAUUGGCACGCCUCAUUUUCAUCUAUUGAACCAAACUAAAAUAGAUAAGAAAAGAUUAUCUAUUGCCCAAGAAAAGGGUU